rnacentral:lncRNA from 7 species
GCUUCUGUUGCAUGGUUACAGCUCACCAGGCCUAAUCUGAAGUACCAGACAAAGAAGUGGAGAGUUAUCCAAAAUUGCUCUCUUGUUUAAAAGAUAGUGGUUCCUUCACUUCUGCCGCUUGCUGAUGGACCAGAAGAACGUGAACCUGCCUGCCUGGUUUCAGUAGCCUUUUCCUCAUUUGUUAAGGUGGGGAAAAUGUUGGCUGUGUUUGAGAAGGUGAAUGCAUCUCUCAUGUGUGCUACAAAUGGUCUCUGAUGACAUUAAUUCAGAAUAAGAUUACCACCAUUAGAUUCAGACUGAGCUGGAUGCUGGUGGAAGCACGUGUAAAAUGUAGUCCAAUGCAACAGUCCCUCCCUGGCUGUGUGAGCUGGGAAUAGCUGGAAUUCCUCUGCUGAGUGUUCAGCAGUCGUGCUGUAUACCUUGUGUGCAUCUACUACUACUGUGCAAGCAGCUUCUUUCCUAUGGAAUCAACAUUUUAGAUGGCAUGCUGUUGGAAUGACACUAUGAAGACCUGGCAAAUGUCACCUAUGCCAAGCAGAGACAGGGAACCACAAAACACAGGUGGCACUGGCAGCGUCUUAGAAUACUGUCAUCAUGAAGCAACAAGAGCCUGACAUUGCAUUGUAUCUGUUCAAUUAAUGUGUUUCUACCUCUGACUUUCCAUGUCAAUCCUGCCUGGUCUCUUCAGUAGCAAGGCAGUGAGGGAAGAAUGCAUCUUUUUUGAAGAAAGACGUUGGGAUUUUUGGUCUAGCUCUGUGACUGGGAUCACACGUACUGCUGCAGGAUAAAGAAAAACCAACAGCAACAGGCUAGGAAGAGUCAGCUCCAUAGCUCUGCCUCUGUUCACCCGUCUCACAUUCGAUUAGUCUCUGCUUGACAUCAGGCUGGGAGCAAUGAGCUCUGAUCAGAACAGUGGAUGUGGCAACAUGCCCGUGAGCUCCACAUGUCACUCCAGAAUCAGAUGCUGUCCCACUGGAUUCCUCCAUAAAACAACUGAGGCAGAUACAUGGAGGCCAGAUUUGUCUGUCUUGUCUAUCUACCACGCCCUCUGAGGUAAGGAAAAAAGGCAGAGCCACCUGUCAGAAAACAUUACGGUAGCAAUGAACUUGAGGGCAGAGAAGGACAUUCAGGAAUGUUGGUUAUCCAUCCAGAUAAAAGUGAGAAACAUUACACAAACACCGUUGCCCUGACAUACUCAAACGGCUCGGUGGUGUUUUGUUUCUGAAUGAUCCUUUCUCACGUGCAUUAGACUCUGGGAAGCAUACAGGCUGCUGUGCGAAGAGGUGGCAGAGCCAAAAUCCAUGUGUGGGCUUGUUCAGGGAGGUUGGGCUAAAGGUGGAAUCCCAAACUUCUGCUUAACUUCAGUAUGAAUUGAAAUUUUACAUCAGCAUUGGGAACUGAUUCACCGUGCAGGUGGAAGAACAUGAGAAGGAAAGGUUCAUCCAUGGUUAGACAAAGGAGGCUUCUCCUGGAAAAGAUCCAUCUCCUGUAAGCGUGCUUUCCCUGAGGCCUGGGGGAAGCCAGCCUGUCCUACCUCCUAGUUUGGGCCUCUUCUGAAGCCAUCCCCUUGGGUCGUACACCUGUCCUUGUCCCCAGCCAUAAGGGUGCUGGUGAGAUGCUAACGGGUCUGCAAAGUGUCACACCCAACCCGAUCCUCCAGUGGUUUAUACCCACUCAGACAUCUUUCUGAUGGUGCAUUCUCCCGUAGAAAGAAACGUUAUGGAGUUCAUUGCAACCAAGCUGUUGUGGGGAGGCGGGAUUUACAUGUGAAACCAGGAAGCAGCCCAAAAAUUGAGAUCUUACUACUUGUAUCUUUUUGAAACAUACAUUUUUAAAGUCUGCGCGAU